rnacentral:rRNA from 1 species
UGAAUUGACGAUGGAUCACCAGUGAGUGGCGGACGGGUGAGUAACACGUAGGUAACCUGCCCCGGAGCGGGGGAUAACAUUUGGAAACAGAUGMUAAUACCGCAUAACAAYAAAAGCCRCAUGGYUUUUGUUUGAAAGAUGGCUUUGGCUAUCACUCUGGGAUGGACCUGCGGUGCAUUAGCUAGUUGGUAAGGUAAYGGCUUACCAAGGCRAUGAUGCAUAGCCGAGUUGAGAGACUGAUCGGCCACAAUGGAACUGAGACACGGUCCAUACUCCUACGGGAGGCAGCAGUAGGGAAUCUUCCACAAUGGGCGCAAGCCUGAUGGAGCAACACCGCGUGAGUGAAGAAGGGUUUCGGCUCGUAAAGCUCUGUUGUUGGAGAAGAACGUGCGUGAGAGUAACUGUUCACGCAGUGACGGUAUCCAACCAGAAAGUCACGGCUAACUACGUGCCAGCAGCCGCGGUAAUACGUAGGUGGCAAGCGUUAUCCGGAUUUAUUGGGCGUAAAGCGAGCGCAGGCGGUUGCUUAGGUCUGAUGUGAAAGCCUUCGGCUUAACCGAAGAAGUGCAUCGGAAACCGGGCGACUUGAGUGCAGAAGAGGACAGUGGAACUCCAUGUGUAGCGGUGGAAUGCGUAGAUAUAUGGAAGAACACCAGUGGCGAAGGCGRCUGUCUGGUCUGCAACUGACGCUGAGGCUCGAAAGCAUGGGUAGCGAACAGGAUUAGAUACCCUGGUAGUCCAUGCCGUAAACGAUGAGUGCUAGGUGUUGGAGGGUUUCCRCCCUUCAGUGCCGGAGCUAACGCAUUAAGCACUCCGCCUGGGGAGUACGACCGCAAGGUUGAAACUCAAAGGAAUUGACGGGGGCCCGCACAAGCGGUGGAGCAUGUGGUUUAAUUCGAAGCUACGCGAAGAACCUUACCAGGUCUUGACAUCUUGCGCUAACCUUAGAGAUAAGGCGUUCCCUUCGGGGACGCAAUGACAGGUGGUUCAUGGUCGUCG